GACGAACGCUGGCGGCGUGCUUAACACAUGCAAGUCGAACGGAAAGGCCCUGCUUUUGUGGGGUGCUCGAGUGGCGAACGGGUGAGUAACACGUGAGUAACCUGCCCUUGACUUUGGGAUAACUUCAGGAAACUGGGGCUAAUACCGGAUAGGAGCUCCUGCUGCAUGGUGGGGGUUGGAAAGUUUCGGCGGUUGGGGAUGGACUCGCGGCUUAUCAGCUUGUUGGUGGGGUAGUGGCUUACCAAGGCUUUGACGGGUAGCCGGCCUGGGAGGGUGACCGGCCACAUUGGGACUGAGAUGCGGCCCAGACUCCUACGGGAGGCAGCAGUGGGGAAUAUUGCACAAUGGGCGGAAGCCUGGUGCAGCAACGCCGCGUGCGGGAUGACGGCCUUCGGGUUGUAAACCGCUUUCGCCUGUGACGAAGCGUGAGUGACGGUAAUGGGUAAAGAAGCACCGGCUAACUACGU
rnacentral:rRNA from 1 species